UACGGAGGGUGCAAGCGUUAUCCGGAUUUACUGGGUUUAAAGGGUGCGCAGGCGGGUAUGUAAGUCAGUGGUGAAAUCUCUAGGCUUAACCUGGAAAUUGCCGUUGAUACUAUAUAUCUUGAAUGCUGUGGAGGUAAGCGGAAUAUGUCAUGUAGCGGUGAAAUGCUUAGAUAUGACAUAGAACACCUAUUGCGAAGGCAGCUUACUACGCAGAUAUUGACGCUCAUGCACGAAAGCGUGGGGAUCAAACAGG
rnacentral:rRNA from 1 species